GACGUAGGGCGCGAGCGUUGUCCGGAUUUAUUGGGCGUAAAGAGCUCGUAGGCGGUUUGUCGCGUCGUUCGUGAAAACUCACAGCUUAACUGUGAGCUUGCGGUCGAUACGGGCAGGCUAGAGUUCGGUAGGGGAGACUGGAAUUCCUGGUGUAGCGGUGAAAUGCGCAGAUAUCAGGAGGAACACCGGUGGCGAAGGCGGGCCUCUGGGCCGAUACUGACGCUGAGGAGCGAAAGCGUGGGGAGCGAACGGG
rnacentral:rRNA from 1 species